AUUGAACGCUGGCGGCAGGCUUAACACAUGCAAGUCGAGCGGGGUGAUGGUGCUUGCACUAUCACUUAGCGGCGGACGGGUGAGUAAUGCUUAGGAAUCUGCCUAUUAGUGGGGGACAACAUCUCGAAAGGGAUGCUAAUACCGCAUACGUCCUACGGGAGAAAGCAGGGGAUCACUUGUGACCUUGCGCUAAUAGAUGAGCCUAAGUCGGAUUAGCUAGUUGGUGGGGUAAAGGCCUACCAAGGCGACGAUCUGUAGCGGGUCUGAGAGGAUGAUCCGCCACACUGGGACUGAGACACGGCCCAGACUCCUGCGGGAGGCAGCAGUGGGGAAUAUUGGACAAUGGGGGGAACCCUGAUCCAGCCAUGCCGCGUGUGUGAAGAAGGCCUUAUGGUUGUAAAGCACUUUAAGCGAGGAGGAGGCUCUUUUGGUUAAUACCCAAGAUGAGUGGACGUUACUCGCAGAAUAAGCACCGGCUAACUCUGUGCCAGCAGCCGCUGUAA
rnacentral:rRNA from 1 species